rnacentral:rRNA from 1 species
CCUACGGGAGGCUGCAGUGGGGGAUAUUGCACAAUGGGGGGAACCCUGAUGCAGCGACGCCGCGUGGGUGAAGAAGCGCCUCGGCGCGUAAAGCCCUGUCAGCAGGGAAGAAAAUGACGGUAUCUGAAGAAGAAGCCCCGGCUAACUACGGGCCAGCAGCCGCGGGAAUACGUAGGGGGCAAGCGUUAUCCGGAUUUACUGGGUGUAAAGGGGGCGCAGACGGCGAUGCAAGCCAGGGGUGAAAGCCCGGGGCUCAACCCCGGGACUGCUUUUGGAACUGCGUGGCUGGAGUGCAGGAGGGGCAGGCGGAAUUCCUGGUGUAGCGGUGAAAUGCGUAGAUAUAAGGAGGAACACCGGUGGCGAAGGCGGACUGCUGGACUGCAACUGACGUUGAGGCCCGAAAGCGUGGGGAGCAAACAGGAUUAGAUACCCUUGUAGUC